CAGCCUGCCCAGUGAUAAAUUCAACGGCCGCGGUACCCUAACCGUGCGAAGGUAGCAUAAUCACUUGUUCUUUAAAUGAGGACUUGUAUCAACGGCAUCACGAGGGUUAAACUGUCUCCUUUUUCCUAUCAGUGAAACUAAUCUCCCCGUGAAGAAGCGGGGAUAAUUCUAUAAGACGAGAAGACCCCAUGGAGCUUUAAACCCAACCACACUCCUCCCUAACUUUACCUUUUAACCCCAGGAUUUUGUGUGUUCUGGUUUUAGGUUGGGGUGACCGCGGAGCAUAAACUAGCCUCCACAAUGAAUAGAUUUUCUCUUUAUCUAAGACUAACACUUCUAAGAAUUAGCACUCUAACAUAAAAUGAUCCGAUAUUCGAUCAACGAACCAAGUUACCCUGGGGAUAACAGCGCAAUCCACUUCAAGAGCCCCUAUCGACAAGUGGGUUUACGACCUCGAUGUUGGAUCAGGGUAUCCUAGUGGUGCAGCAGCUACUAAAGGUUCGUUUGUUCAACGAUUAAAACCCU
rnacentral:rRNA from 1 species